GGUGCCCUAACCGUGCGAAGGUAGCAUAAUCACUUGUUCUUUAAAUAGGGACUAGUAUGAACGGCAUCACGAGGGUUACACUGUCUCCGUUUCUCCAAUCAGUGAAACUGAGUCUCCCCGUGAAGAAGCGGGGAUAAAACUAUUAUACGAGAAGACCCCAUGGAGCUUUAAGCUCAAGAACAACUCUUAUGAGAAUAAUUCCCCAUAAUACACGAACCCUGUUUGUUAGCUUUAGGUUGGGGUGACCGCGGAGUAUAAUUUAACCUCCACGGCGAAAGGGUAUAAAACCCUAAUCCAAGAGCCACUGCUCUAAGAAUCAUUAAAUUGACGCACAAUGAUCCGAUUUUCGAUCAACGAACCAAGUUACCCUGGGGAUAACAGCGCAAACCAUUUCUAGAGCCCCUAUCGACAAAUGGGUUUACAACCUCGAUGUUGGAUCAUGGUAUCCUAGUGGUGCAUCCGC
rnacentral:rRNA from 1 species